GUACACACCGCCCGUCAAGCCAUGGGAGCCGGGGGGUGCUUGAAGUGCGUCGCCGCAAGGCGCGCCCUAGAGCAAAACCGGUGACUGGGGCUAAGUCGUAACAAGGUACC
rnacentral:rRNA from 1 species